UACGGAGGGUGCGAGCGUUGCCCGGAAUUAUUGGGCGUAAAGAGCUCGUAGGCGGUUUGUCGCGUCUGCUGUGAAAUCCCGGGGCUUAACCCCGGGCCUGCAGUGGAUACGGGCAGGCUAGAGGCAGGCAGGGGAGAACGGAAUUCCCGGUGUAGCGGUGAAAUGCGCAGAUAUCGGGAGGAACACCGGUGGCGAAGGCGGUUCUCUGGGCCUGUACUGACGCUGAGGAGCGAAAGCGUGGGGAGCGAACAGG
rnacentral:rRNA from 1 species